GAUGAAGAACGUAGCGAAAUGCGAUACGUAAUGUGAAUUGCAGAUUUCAGUGAAUCAUCGAAUCUUUGAACGCACAUUGCGCCCGCUAGUAUUCUGGCGGGCAUGCCUGUUCGAGCGCCAUUUCAACCAUCAAGCCCUAGGCUUGCGUUGGAGCCCUGCGGCUGCCGCAGGCUCCCAAAUCCAGUGGCGGGCUCGUCGUCGUACCGAGUGCAGUAAACAUCCUCGCUCAGGGAACGUGACGGGUUCUUGCCGUGAAACCCCCCACAUAUCAAGGUUGACCUCGGAUCAGGUAGGAAUACCCGCUGAACUUAAGCAUAUCAAUAAGCGGAGGA
rnacentral:misc_RNA from 1 species